AACGAACGCUGGCGGCAGGCUUAACACAUGCAAGUCGAACGCCCCGCAAGGGGAGUGGCGCACGGGUGAGUAACGCGUGGGAAUAUGCCCUUCGGUUCGGAAUAACACAGGGAAACUUGUGCUAAUACCGGAUACGAUCUACGGAUGAAAGAUUUAUCGCCGAGGGAGUAGCCCGCGUAGGAUUAGCUAGUUGGUGAGGUAAUGGCUCACCAAGGCGACGAUCCUUGGCUGGUCUGAGAGGAUGGUCAGCCACACUGGGACUGAGACACGGCCAAGACUAAGACGGGAGGAAGGAGUGGGGAAUAGUGGAAAAUGGGGGAAACCCUGAUCCAGCCAUGCCGCGUGGGGGAUGAAGGCCUUAGGGUUGUAAAGCUCUUUAGCUAGGGAAGAUAAUGACGGUACCUGGAAAAGAAGCCUCGGCUAACUCCGUGCCAGCCGCCGCCGUAAUAC
rnacentral:rRNA from 1 species